rnacentral:rRNA from 1 species
UUUUGUACCUUUUGUAUCAGGGUUGAUUAAAAUUUAUUUAAUGAUUUUUAAUAUCUCGAAAAUAAGGGAGCUAAAUUUAUAUUAUUUUUUUUGUAGCAAUAAAAUUAUAAAUAUAGAUUUAGAAAUUAAAUGUUAAACGAACUUAUUAAUAUCUAGUUUUUUUAGAAAUAAAUUUAAUUUAGAUAUAAUUAUUUUAGUAAAUUAAAUUUUAUUUUAAUUUAUUAAUUUUUAUAUUAAAAAUUUAUGGGAUAAUCUAUAAAUUUAAGAUAAAAAUUUAAUUUUAAUUUUUAAUGUUAUAGAGAUAAUAUUUUUCUUUAAUUUUAAUAAUUUAAUAAUUUAAUAUUUAUAAAUUAAUAAUGAUUUAAAUUUAUAUUUUAUUUUUCUAUAAAAAUUUAUAUUUUAAUUAAUAAAAUAUAGAAAUAAUGAUUAGAUUAGUAAUAAAGUUAUAUUUUAUAAUGAUAUUUUGUAUUAUAUAAUUUAAAGGAAUUCGGCAAAUAUAUUAUUCACCUGUUUAUCAAAAACAUGUCCUGUUGAUUAUAAUUUUAGGUCGAUCUGCUCAAUGAAUUAUUUUAAAUAGCUGCAGUAUGUUGACUGUACAAAGGUAGCAUAAUAAAUUGUCUUUUAAUUGAAGAAUUGUAUGAAAGAAUUAAUGAAAUAAUAACUGUCUCUAAAUUAUUAAAUGAAUUUAAAUUUUUAGUUAAAAUUCUAAAAUUUAAUUAUGGGACGAUAAGACCCUAUAGAAUUUAAUUUAAUUUUUAAAUUUAUUUAUAAUUUUAAUAAAUAUAUUUAAGAUUAAAUUUGAUUGGGAGGAUUGGUAAAUUUAAUAAACUUUAUUUAAGAUUUAAUUUUGAUAUAAAGAUAAUUUUUUGAAUUAUAAAUUGUAAUUAAAAGAAUAAAUUACCUUAGGGAUAACAGCGUAAUAUCUUUUGAUAGACCAUAUAGAUAAA